rnacentral:rRNA from 1 species
AGAGUUUGAUCCUGGCUCAGAUUGAACGCUGGCGGCAUGCCUUACACAUGCAAGUCGAACGGCAGCACGGGUGCUUGCACCUGGUGGCGAGUGGCGAACGGGUGAGUAAUGUAUCGGAACGUACCAUUCAGUGGGGGAUAACUAUCCGAAAGGAUAGCUAAUACCGCAUAUUCUGUGAGCAGGAAAGCAGGGGAUCGCAAGACCUUGCGCUGAUUGAGCGGCCGAUAUCAGAUUAGCUAGUUGGUGGGGUAAAAGCCUACCAAGGCGACGAUCUGUAGCGGGUCUGAGAGGAUGAUCCGCCACACUGGAACUGAGACACGGUCCAGACUCCUACGGGAGGCAGCAGUGGGGAAUUUUGGACAAUGGGCGAAAGCCUGAUCCAGCCAUGCCGCGUGAGUGAAGAAGGCCUUCGGGUUGUAAAGCUCUUUCGGCCGGGAAGAAAUCGCAUAGGUUAAUACCCUGUGUGGAUGACGGUACCGGGAAUAAGAAGCACCGGCUAACUACGUGCCAGCAGCCCGCGGUAAUACGUAGGGUGCGAGCGUUAAUCGGAAUUACUGGGCGUAAAGCGUGCGCAGGCGGUUUUUUAAGACAGGCGUGAAAUCCCCGGGCUUAACCUGGGAACUGCGCUUGUGACUGGAAGGCUAGAGUACGGCAGAGGGGGGUGGAAUUCCACGUGUAGCAGUGAAAUGCGUANAGAUGUGGAGGANCACCGAUGGCGAANGCAGCCCCCCUGGGCCCGAUACUGACGCUCAUGCACGAAAGCGUGGGGAGCAAACAGGAUUAGAUACCCUGGUAGUCCACGCCCUAAACGAUGUCAACUAGGUGUUGGGUGGGUAAAACCAUUUAGUACCGGAGCUAACGCGUGAAGUUGACCGCCUGGGGAGUACGGCCGCAAGGUUAAAACUCAAAGGAAUUGACGG